GAUGAACGCUGGCGGCGUGCCUAAUACAUGCAAGUCGAGCGAACAGAUGAGGAGCUUGCUCCUCUGACGUUAGCGGCGGACGGGUGAGUAACACGUGGAUAACCUACCUAUAAGACUGGGAUAACUUCGGGAAACCGGAGCUAAUACCGGAUAAUAUAUUGAACCGCAUGGUUCAAUAGUGAAAGACGGUUUUGCUGUCACUUAUAGAUGGAUCCGCGCCGCAUUAGCUAGUUGGUAAGGUAACGGCUUACCAAGGCAACGAUGCGUAGCCGACCUGAGAGGGUGAUCGGCCACACAGGAACUGAGACACGGUCCAGACUCCUACGGGAGGCCGCAGUCGGGAAUCUUCCGCAACGGGCGAAAGCUUGACGGAGCAACGCCGCGGGAGUAAUGAAGUUCUUCGGAUCGUAAAACUCUGUUAUUAGGGAAGAACAAAUGUGUAAGUAACUAUGCACGUCUUGACGGUACCUACUCAGAAAGCCACGGCUAACUACGUG
rnacentral:rRNA from 1 species